rnacentral:lncRNA from 1 species
UUUCUUAAUUUUCUAUUACAACUAAAACAUAGUUAAUCGACUUAUACCCUCUUUAGAAAUUUUAGCGUCAUAUUAAUACGGGGUUUGGGCGUAUUCUAAAACUAGUUAAAUAAAAGUAAAAGAGAAAGAAAGUCGCAAAAUUACCAGAACAAUCACUUGUAAGUUGUAACUGUGCGAUAUCUCCUUACAACUUAUAAUCUUAUAUACAGAGAUGGGAUAUUGAAACAAGAAAUAUAAUCAGAAUAAUUAUUGGAUAACUAGACGCCUAGUGCAGAUGGUGCAGUAAUAUUUACGUUUUUUCUUGAAAGAAAGAGGAACAAAGCAGAGUCUCCACUGGCUCUCCAAAUCCACAGCUUGAAUCAUUCCUCCACAGUAAGGACAGGCCCCUGCUGCUGCCUGUCUUUGUAGAACUCUUUCAUCUUCAUCGCAAAAAAUUACAAAGCACAUCCCCUUAAAUUUUAUUGAUAUUUCUCCUCUCCUCUGCUUCUUUAUGUAUACCUUUCUGCUUAUAUUUGAUUGAAUAUUUAACAAUCAACCACUUUCCUCUUUCUGGAUUAGAAGAAAGAUGUAAAAACUGAAGCUAAGUUUAUUUUAUUGGAUAUUGUAGAACAGAGUUGGGUUAAAAGGAUGAUGGGUUUUGAGAUUAAGGUGCAAGGAAAUAUAUUUUUAUAAAGAAGUGGGAAUCUCGAAAAAGCUAGUAGCAUCUGGAAGGAUGGGACUUUUUCUUAGAUAUGAAGAUUUCAAGCACCAAACAAAAAACGUGUUGACUGUUAGAGGUAUGCUUUGUUCUGUUAUGAUGAUUCUAGCGUCUAGAUGAGCUAUUUUUAAAAUUUUCUAAGUUUUUCUGUUGGAUUAAAAAAAAUUGUUUUCUUUCAAUUGGAGAACAAUACCAAAAUUAAUAGUAACAUGUAAGUUGUCGGUGAGGAUUUUGUUAUGCUUAAUUCUCAAGAAAAUGACAAAAUAAAUCCCUCAUAUAUUUGAGGUAGCUAGGUCAAAAAUAUAAUUUUUUUUGUACUAUUAAUUCUUUAAGUUUAAUUUAAAAUCUAAUAUAAUUAGGAUUCACAAAAUUCAAGCUACAAUCGAAAUGUCUAGUGCCCUUUUUAACUAUUAAGGUGCAGUUUUUGCUAGUUGGUUCACUCAAAAGUUAUCGAUAUACUUUGCAUGCUUAAAAAUAAUUAAAAUAAUGGUAAAUCGUAACCAAAUAUAAUAUGACCUAGAGAUUAGAAGGACGACAGUGUUAAUAUAGAUCUGAAAGACAAAAAGAUCAUAUGAACUUAAGAGAGAAGUAAUCGUUAGAAAUAGAGACAAAGAUGGAGAGAGAGAGAGAAGAGUUGUACUGUUCGAGAAUAAUGAUGAUGCUCAUUUACAAUGUUAAGGUCUCCUUUAUAUAACAAGGACCUUCCUCGUAAUAAUCAAAAAGGAACAAAAGUAGGUAAUAUCCUUUGAGUGAAGGCGCUGAGUCUUUAAGUGACGUCACCUUUGUCACCACAGCCAGGUCAUGUCCUCACCUUGAUCGACAGAUGCUCAAAGACGUACCCAUCAUCGUAGAGGUGUCUAGGGUCAAAUUUGGCCCCAUACAGUUAGUCCCUCCGUUCGUUUGAGACGCAUUUGAUGGGCGUCUCCAAUGGACGGAAUUGCGAACCUCGUCUUAGAAGAAUUUGACCUCAUAACUAAGCGGCAACAAGAAUAAUGUGAAAUGCUCAAGUUGUUGAUCUACUCACAUGUGACUCCCUUUUUGGGAUGACGUUUUGCCCGCAUGCGCCAUUAUUACUCUUAUUGCCGAGGUAGUUCAGGAGGUGAUGUGAAGUUUUUUCCCCCCGCUCGUUUUGGGUCAUGCCUUUUCGGUUUUCGCAAUACUUAACCCUAUAAAUAGGGAAAGGUUCAAUCUGAUUCAUCUUUCGAACCUCUAGAAAAUAUUUUUUGACUUUCUUCAUUGUCUUUCUCUCUUAUAACUCAUAUUUCGUAUGAGACUCUUUCACCUUUCAAAAACCUCAUUUCUUGCUAUACGCACUUUAUUUCUUAUACGGAACAUCAUGGUAAAAUGCCAAUGUAGUAAGAGGUGUAAGGAUGCCGCCCCAUCUAGGGUUCCGCCUUCCCCUGGUGACGAAGAGGAAGAGAUUAUCCCAAUUGGGUUUUCUCGGAAAGGUUUUUAACGAGGUGGUGAAGGGGACACCUUGGGAUAUUUGCUGAACGCAUUUAUCAUACCAUCCUCUCCAUCCACUCUCCAGAUUAGCAUGAUAAAGGGACUGGACUAGCAUGAUAUCCAAUGUAUCAAACGGCUAAGGCCAUCUUCAGUAUAUAAACGGCUAACGCCAUCUCCAACGUACAAACGGCUACGACCAUCUCAAACUUGUAAAUGGCUACAGCCAUCUCCAAUGUAUCAAACGAAUAAGGCCAUCUUCAGUGUAUAAAUGACUAAGGCCAUCUCCAAUGUAUCAAAUGGCUAAGGCCAUCUUUAGUGUAUAAGUGGUUAAGGCCAUCAAAAACGUACAAACGGCUACGGUCAUCUCCAAUGUGUAAAUGGCUAAGGCCAUCUCCAAGGUAUCAUAUGGCUAAGGCCACCGACUCUACGUGGCUACGGCCAUCAACGCAAUAUGGCUAAGGCCACCGACAAUAUUAUGGUUAAGCCCAUCGCUGUCAACUGUCGGCCGAGUUCGACUACGGCAAGCAGGAGAUUCGACGACAAUCAAAGUCACUCAUAUGGCUAAGGCCAUCGACACUACGUGGCUACGACCAUCAAUGCGAAAUGGCUAAGGCCUUUGACACUAGGUGGCUACAGCUAUCAACACAAAAUGGCUAAGGACAUUAUGGCUGAGUCCAUCGCCGUCAACUGUCAACCCAGUUCGAUUACGGCAAGUAGGUGAUUCGACGAAACUUGAAGUCACUCAUAUGGCUAAGGCCAUCGACACUACGUGGCUCUAGCCAUCAACAUGAAACGACUAAGGUCAUCGACAAUAUUAUGGCUAAGGUCAUCGCCAUCAACUGUCGACCAUGUUCGACUACGACAAGUAGGUGAUUCAACGACAGUCGAAGUCACUCAUAUGGCUAAGGCCAUCGACACUACGUGGCUACGGACAUCAAAGCGAAAUGGCUAAGGCCAUCGCCGUCAACUAUCAACCAUGUUCAACUACGACAAGCAGGUGAUUCGAGGACAGUUGAAGUCACUCAUAUGGCUAAGGCCAUCGACACUAAGUGGCUAUGUACAUCAAAACGAAAUAGCUAUGGCCAUUGACAAUAGUAUGGCUAAGGCCAUCGCCGCCAAGUAUCGACCCGGUUCGAUUAUGGCAAGUAGGUGAUUCGACGACAUUCGGAGUCACUCAUAUGGCUAAGGUUAUCGACACUACGUGGCUACGACCAUAAACAUGAAAUGGAUAAAUCCAUCUAUAAUAUCAUGGCUAAGGCCAUCGCCGUUAAUUGUAGACUCAGUUCGACUACGACAAGCAACUGACCCAACGAUAGUCAAAGUCACUUAUAUGGCCAAGGCCAUCGAUAAUAUUAUGGCUAAGGCCAUCACCGAUUGUCGACCCAGUUCGACCAUCAAAAUAAAGCAAGUGCCCACUCUACAAGACGAGAUACCGAAAAUAAAAGACAAAAAUAAAGGAAUGACAACAAAAGUACAACUUUCAUUAUCAUUCAAAAAUUCAUGUACAUCCGACCUUACAAAAGAUCCUCUUCACAUUCCAAAAUAUAGGAAAACUAAAAUAUGUACAAGUCCUAAGGGGCUUCGCCUUGCCCGUCACCUCCUACGUGACCACCAUUUUGCUCAUCAUCUCCUGCUUGGCCGUCAUCUUGAUCAUUGCCGCCCCAAGGUUGGUAAGCCAAAGAAAUCCAAGAGCCGGAUUCUAGAUGGUUAAAUUCUUCGCAGAUAUAGCCCGCCCGAUCUGGAGUGUCAAAGCUAUACCCACAAGAUUCACGGGCGACACAGGCUAUGCAUAGUUGCUUUUGAACUUCCACCUCAUUGGCUCGACCCGCAUAUAAGUAUACUUCGAGUACGACUAAUCUUGCUUCGGCGUAUACCCACAUCUCAUGCACUUCACGAUUCACAUCAUCUUUGAGCUUUGACGAAGUGGUCCUCUUGAGGACCUCAAUCUCAGCUGCCUUGGCAUCGAGGUCGGUGAUCAAAUAAGCGACUCUAGUCUGCAAUAGAGUCACCUCCGCUACUACCCCACGGUUGAUCUCCAAUUGCUCUUCCCUCGACUGAAAGAGAGUCUCUAGAUCGAUAUUCUGAGCCAAAGCAGCCAUCAGUUGAUCGUCAACCUCCUCCAACUCGGCCGCCCUCCAUUUCAACCGAGACUUCGAUUGUUCAACGCCCUCACGGAACACUCAAAAUUGAGGGUCUUAUUUGAACACAUCUGCCAACGCCUAAUGCUUGGCACGGCAUUGUUUGUACUUCUUCGCCAUUUUGUUGAAGGUGGUCGCCUUCUUUUGCUCACGCUGCCUCCUCUCCACUUCCAAAAUGAGAGUCUAAAUAGGAAAAGAAAAAGAGAAAAGACAAGUAACACAGUUGAGGGAAAAAGUGUACGACUCGGGAGACGCCUUUUAGAAAUGGAAAUAUUUGAAAUAGGCGACGUUCCUAUUGUUUUGGAGAAUUUUUCCCUCCGUUGUUUCAAUUUGGAAUGCUCCUUUAUUCGCUGCUGCUGUGAUUUUAUAGGGACCAUCCCAGUUGGUGCCCAAUUUUCCCUUGCUCUGGUAUUUCGAUGCCAAUGUUUUGGCUAUGAGUACGUAAUUUCCCACUUUGAGUGGUCUUAUUUUGGAUCCUUUAUUGUAGUAUCUUUCGACCUGUUGUUUCUGAGAUACCAUUCUUAUGUGAGCCAUUUCUCUUCUUUUCUCGGCCUCAUCGAGGCCUUGAAGUCUAUUCAUAUCAUUCUAUGCUUCGUUGUUAUGUGAAUACCUUAAGCUCGGCUCGCCGACUUCAAUCGGUAUGACCUCGUUGGUUUUGUAGAUCGGUGAAUACGGUGUUUCUCCUCUGCUAGAUUUGGGUGUGGUCCGGUGUGCCCACAACACUUCUGGUAGUAGCUCGGGUCAUAGCUUUUUUGCUUCCUCGAGUUUCUUUUUCAGUAUGUUCAGCAUUGUUUUAUUGGAAGAUUCUACUUGGCCGUUGGCGGUGGGGUGAUAUGGCGUGGAGGGUGUUCGCUUGAUAUGCCAUUUGUCGAAGAACUCUGUCGUCUUCUAGCCGAUGAACUGUCACCCAUUGUCGCAGCUGAUCUCUUUGGGAAUGCCAAAUCGGUAGAUGAUAUUCUUCCAUAUGAAGGCAAUGACUUCCUGUUCGCAUAUUUGGGCAUACGCACCUGCUUUCACCCACUUGGAGAAAUAGGCAGUUAAAACUAACAGAAAUUGUACCUUUCCACGUCUCGCUGGUAGGGGACCAACUAUGUCCAUCCCCUAUUUAAUGAAAUGCCAUGGGGAAGUGACUGAGUGGAGGGGUUCUCCUAGUUGAUGUAUCAUGGGGGCAUAAUUUUGUCAUUGUUUGUAUCAGCAAACAUAUUCUACUGCCUCCUUCUUCAUAGUGGGCUAGCAAUAGCCGGCCCAUAUUAUACAAUGUACGAGGGCGUGGUCACCUGUAUGGGCACCGCAGUGACCUUCGUGUACCUCUUCGAGUACUUGUUUCGUCUGGUGCGGCCCUCGGCACUUGGCAAGGUGUCCGCCAAACAUUCUUUUGUAGAGCUCGUGAUUUAUCAAGCAAUAUCGGGGCGGCCUCUAUGCAGAGCUUCUUUGCUUCUUUUUUGUCGAGUGGGAGUGUCACAUCCUGCAAAUAGGACACAAAUUAGUUGUGCCAGUCCCAAGUAAAAUUUAAAGAGAGUACCUCAGUGUGAUCAAUGGCUGAAUGAAGGAGGGUGAACACGCUUUAUUUGUUUAUGUUUUAGUGGAUGCGGCCAAUUUUGGUAAAUCGCCUGCUUCGACGUUCCAUGCCCGUGAAAUUAGUUCGAAGUGACACUCGUAUAAUUCAACCAUUAAUCUAUUGAUUUCCGGCUAGUAUAUUUGCGAUCUCUGCUCCUUGAUUUGAUUAGCCCCGGUGACCUUGUUCACAACAAGUUGGGAACUGCAGUGGAGAACCAGUCGCCGAGCCCCAUAUUUGACGCUAGCUUUAUGCCUGCAAUAACAACCUCGUACUCAACCUAAUUGUUAGUCAUUUCGGAUAUCGUAUGGACAGGAGAAUAGGUUUGCCUUUGUAGACCUCGAGGACGAGUCCCAAUCCCGAUCCCGAAGCAUUAGCGGCACCGUCAGUGUAGAGGGCCCAUAGGUUGGUGUCGAAGGGGGCACGACGUGCCUCUAGAUCUGCCUCUAGUAAAAUCUCUGCGCUGAAAUCGGCUACAAAGUCGGCAAGUACUUGCGACUUGAUGACGUUUCUAGGGUGAUACGAAAUAUCAUGCUCGUUGAGCUCUAUGGUUCAUCUCGCGAGCCUGCCUGAUAAUUCAGCCUUUUGUUGGACGCUUGUCAGGGGGAAGGUCGUUACUACUUUUAUGGGAUGGCACUGAAAGUAGGGUCGGAGCUUUCGUGAAGCUACGACUAGAGCCAGAGCUAAUUUUUCAAGGUGUGGAUACCGUGUUUUGGCGUCUAUUAAUGUUUUAAUAAUGUAUUGGAUUGGAAAUUGCGUACCUUCAUUUUUUGCAGACCAAGGUUGCGCUGACGGCGACCUCGGAUACAGCCAGAUACACCAGUAAGGGCUCGUCAAGAUUUUCUUUAGCUAGCAGUGGUGGCGAAGCUAGAUAUGCUUUCAAUUUUUUCAAGUCUUCAACGCAUUAUUCGUUCCACUGUAACCCAUUUUCCUUUUCAACACAUUAAAAAAUUUAUGGCACUUGUCGGAGGACCGUGAGAUGAACCUGGAUAGGGCGUCUAUUCAUCCCGUCAACUUUUGUAUGUGUUUUUUACUGUUCAAAAUCUCAGGUAUGGCAUCUAUCACCUUGAUCUGAUCUGGGUUGACCUCGAUGCCUCUUUGUGAUACGAGAAAUCCUAAGAAUUUUCCUGAGGCUACGCCAAAGUGCAUCGACAAGAGCCAGAGCUAACUUUUCAAUGUGGAUACCGUGUUUCGGUUUCCACUAAGGUUUUGCUAAUAUAGUAAAUUGGAUAUUGUGUACCUUUGUUUUCGCGGACCAAGACUGCACUGAUUGCGACCUCGGAUACGGCUAGAUACACCAGCAAGGGCUCGUACGGAUUUGCUUUGGCUAGCAUUUGUGGCGAAUAUAGAUAUGCUUUCAAUUUUCUCAGGGCUUUGACGCAUUCUUCGUUCCAUUGUAACCCAUUGUCCUUUUUCAACACAUUGAAGCGCCUGUCAGAGGACCGUGAGACGAACCCAGAUAAGGCGGCUAUUCGCCCCGCCAGCUUUUGUAUCGAUUUUUUGCUAUCCAAAAUCUCAAGUAUGGCGCCUAUCGCCUUGAUCUGAUCUGGGUUGACCUUGAUGCCACCUUGUGAUACAAGAAAUCCUAUGACUUUCCUAGAGGCUACGCCGAAGGCACAUUUCUAGGGGUUCAGCUUCAUUCCAUACCUUCUCAAUAUUUUGAAGGCUUCUUUCAGAUGAUCGAUGUAGUCCUCUUUGCUUGUAUACUUCACCAGCAUAUCGUCGAUAUAGACUUCUAUGGUUUUACCUAGCUGAUCUUUGAACAUUUUAAUGACCAGUCUUUGGUACGUAGCCCUUGCAUUUUUGAGCCCGAAAGGCAUUACUUUGUAGAAAUAUGUUCCCUGGUGUAUGAUGAAAAUCGUUUUUUCUUGGUCCUUCUCUGCCAUCAUGAUUUUAUUGUAGCUGGAGUAGGCGUCUAGGAAACUCACAAUUUAUGUCCCGUGGUGGCGUCAAUCACCUGGUUGAUGUGGGCCAGUGGGAACGAAUCCUUAGGGCAUGACUUGUUCAGAUCGGUAAAAUCCACGCACAUUCUCCACUUCCCAUUUUUCUUUUUGACCAUGACGACAUUGGCAACUCAUUGGGGGUACUUCGAUUCUUUGAUGGAAUCGUUGGCCAGUAACUUAUCUACUUCCUUGCUGACCGCUUCACUGAUAGCGGCGUUGAUCUUUCUUCUUAUCUCUCGCACGGGCGGGUGCAAUGAAUCAAGAUUCAACUUGUGGGUGGCGCUAUCCCGCAAGAUUCCCGGCAUAUCUAAAUGGGAAAAGGAAAAUAAAUUUGCAUGGUUAGUUAGGAAUUCAUGAUACUUACUUGGGUUUGUGAGGUUGUGCCUGAUAUAGGCCCUCUUUGUAGGGUUGGUGUUAUCCAAUUACAUUGGGUCAAGAUCUUCGGCCGUUGCUCUACAGGCCUCCGCGAUGUCGGGAUCUCUAAUGCCAUCCGUUAUUGGACUGACCUUAGUCCCUGACACGGCUGAUUGCGAUGCAUCUGAACUCACUCUCUUUAGCUGUUUGGUGUGGGCGCAGUUUUGAGCUAUUUUGUAUCAUUCCUAUGCGGUGCGAAGCUCGCCUCAGUUGCUGAAUACUCCCCAUGGGGUAGGGAAUUUGAUCACUUGGUAAAAUCUUGAGGGGAUCGCUCGCAUGGCAUGUAUCCAUGGGCGUCCUAUGACGGCAUUGUACGUCGUUUCCUGGUUUAUCACGUGGAAUGUUGUUUCCAGCGUGACUCCUCCUGCUAAUGCAAUCAGUGGUAUUUCUCCGGAGGUCCAUUCCACUGCAUUGUUAAAACAUGUUACUAUUAUGCAGCGCGAUAUUAUAUUAUCCUCGAGUCCCAUUUGUACGAGGACCCUCAGAUGUCUAAUACAUGAGCCACUUCCAUCGUCGACCAUGAUUAUUUUAACAUCCAUAUCGGCGAUACGUAAAGUGAUAACUAAAGCAUCAUAAUAAGGGAAAGACAAAUCGUCGGCAUCAGACUUAUCAAAGGUGAUACUUCGAAGUCUCCAUACCGUUCAUGGGCGAUGGUCCAUUUUAGCUUGUAUGUGGUGGUGAACUUGACGUGAUUGAUUGCCAAGUCGUCGCCGCCUCCGAUGAUCAUAUUUAUCGUGCGUGCUGGGAAAGGCACCUUUGGCAGCCCGUGGGGUUAUUCACAUCCGCGUGCAAAGUUGGAUUUCCCUUUGUCACUGAGCAACUCCCUCAGGUAUCCCUGGUUCAGUAUUCUGACUAUCUCUUGCCGUAGGCCUUUGCAGUCUUCGGUCUUGUGUCCCCAUUCCUGAUGGAACUCACAAAGGACGUUUGAUUUCCUUUUGGCGGGGUCUGAUUUCAUUUUAUGGGGCCAUUGUACUUUUGUGCCCAUCCUCUCUAGUGCGUACACUAUUUCUGAAGAAGAUUCACAAAAGUAAUAGGCGGAUAAUAAAGGGGGCGUACCUCUUUCAUUUCGGAGUAGGGCGAUGUGUCGCUGCAGUGCGUCUGUAUGCCUGGGUUGAGGUGGAUGAGAUGAUCUGAUAUAAGGCUGAUGUCGAUCUUUAUUGAAACGUGGGAGUUGUUUUCGCCGACUCUCAAUACGUUGAUCCCUCCUUAUUUCUGAGUGUAUCAUUGUUAGCCGUUGGAUUGUCCUAAUAAGAUCAUCCUCGUAUGCUCGUCCCUCCGUACAGUAGGAGUUGUGGAUUUCCUCUGAAGUGAUAGGUAGAUAUUUCAUAAGGUGGCUCAGUAGUUUCUUAGUUGCCCUCGAACUGUCCCUAUUUAUCAUGUUCUGGAGAGCAGCUACUGCCAUACUUUCUGAUACAUUUCGUAGACUCAUCCUUACCCUUUUAAACCUGGCUAGGAAGUCCCUGAGUCCCUCUCAUGCAAUUUUCCUUACGGCGAAGAUGUCGUUGACCCUUGCUUAUGCUUUCUUUGCACCUGCAUGGACGGUGACGAAUUUAUCUGCCAUUUCUUCGAACGUUGAUAUUACCCUAGCUGGUAGCUUAGAAUACCAUGUUAGGGCCCCUCCGGUCAACGUCUCGCCGAACGUCUUCAGCAGCACCGAUGGUACCUGUUAUUUUGAUAAGUCGUUGCCCUUCAUAGCGAUGACAUAGUUAACCAGAUGGUCCUCGAGAUCUGUGGUUCCAUUAUAUAUCCUCAAGUAGGGCGGCAUUUUGAAGGUUUUUGGGAUGGAGUGCGGGGUAUCUCCUUCGGUAUAUGGUUGUUCAACGAACCUCCACACGUUGCAUUUUGGUAGCAAUUUGGGAGCACCGGGGAUCUUGUCUACCCUCUCUUGAUAUUCCUUCAUUUAGUCGUGGAGUGCUUUGUUUUCAUUUUCCAUUUCUUCCAUUUUCUUAAGGAUGGCUAUAAGUGUGCCAUCGUUUGUUCGCACAUUAACGGGCUCGUCAUUUGCUCGUACAACUUCGGGUUCACACAUGGCAAUAGUGAUGCCUACUGUUGGUGUACACGUGAGGUUACUUUGUGGUGACUUUUCAACCAAUCCACUUAGGGUACUUGUUAGCUAUUCUUCUAGUAGCUUCUUGACCACUGAGGGUGCUUCCUUAGCAGCAGAUGUUGAAGCUCCUUUUUCAUGCAAGAUUGUUAGAUCCACGGAUGAGGAAGGCAAGAUCUCUGAACAUGGGGUGGUGCUAGGGGUUGCAUUCAAGAUUUCUUUGUCAUCGGCCUCGUUGAAAGAAACACAAGAUAUUGGUUGUAACACAUACUAUUAUUUUCAUUCUUGCGUUAUUUUCGGCUAUCUUUUGUUUUCGUGCGGUGUAGAGAAUGGUUGUUGGUUGUUCUCUAGGUGCAAACGAUAAUUUUGAUUCUCUAAAUUCCACAGACGACACCAAAUUUUUUGUCUAAAAAAUUAUAGAUAUACUUUGCAAGCUUAAAAACCAUAAAAAAUAAACGAGGGUAAAUCGUAAUCAAAUAUAAUAUGACCUAGAGAUUAGAAGGACGAUAUUGUUAUUGUAGAUCUGAAAGACAAAAAGAUCAUAUUCAUUUAAGAGAGAAGUAAUCGUUAGAGAUAGAGACAAAGAUGGAGAAAGAGAGAGAAGAGUUAUAUUAUUCGAGGAUAAUGAUGAUGCCCCCUUUAUAAUAUUAAGAUUUCAUUUAUAUAACAGAAGACCUUCCUCGAAAUAAUCAAAAAGGUACAAAAGUAUAUUCUCUAAGUGAAGGCGCUGAGUCUUUAAGUAACGUCGCCUUUCUCACCACGUCCAGGUCAUGUUCUCAGCCUAAUCGACAUAUGCUCAAAGACGUACCCAUCAUCGUAGAGCCAUCUAGGGUCAAAUUUGACCCCCAUACAUUAGUUUUGGUUUAUUAAAAUCUUUGGUGCAUUUUUUUGUGUUGUAGUUUCUAAUGUUUGGCGGGAGUUUCAUGUUGGUUUUGGUGAAAUCAUUUUUCCAGAAUGUUUUGUAAAUAUCUAAUAGAAAUUAAAAAUGCUCACUUGCAAAAAGUAUAAAAGACUAAUAACAACAACAACAACAACAACUACCCAGUAUACUCCCACCAGGUGGGGUCUGGGGAGGGNNNNNNNNNNNNNNNNNNNNNNNNNNNNNNNNNNNNNNNNNNNNNNNNNNNNNNNNNNNNNNNNNNNNNNNNNNNNNNNNNNNNNNNNNNNNNNNNNNNNNNNNNNNNNNNNNNNNNNNNNNNNNNNNNNNNNNNNNNNNNNNNNNNNNNNNNNNNNNNNNNNNNNNNNNNNNNNNNNNNNNNNNNNNNNNNNNNNNNNNNNNNNNNNNNNNNNNNNNNNNNNNNAACAAAAUAACAAAACAAAGCAUAAGUAAUCCUGCAGAAAUAACGUAAAUGGUUAUGUAAACAUAAGGAACAUAAAUACCGUCGCAACCAAGAGGGGACGUUAUAUAAAAGACUAAACUGCUCAAAAAUAUAUUUUAGGGAUUAUUUUAAAUUUACUCCCAAACAUAAGGGACCGAUUUGGUAAUUUUCACAUUAAGUUGCACAAAACAGGUGGGUUAGGAACUUAGGAUUUUGGAGACGCAUAUCCAAACUCCACGUUAAUUCAAACUUCAACACAAAUAUUAAACACUAUAUUCUACACCAACAUGUAUUAAACUAAUACUAGUAACUUUGUAACUAGAAAUGAUCUUAAAUCGAAAGUAGGAGCAGGCUUCUGCUUAACUUGAAAGGAGUGAAAGAAUAAACUUAAACCACCGAACCACUUGAACUAAAAAAAUCUCAAUAUAUAUAAUAUAUUAUAAUUUAUAUUUAUCGACUAAAAAGUAAACAAGGAAUCCUAAUUUUGGGUAAAGAUCCCAAAAGACAUUGGACUUGAGAAUUUCUUUAUUUUGCAUUCUUAAUUUAUUCAGAGGAAUUAAAUUAGCAUUUUAUUCAAUCGCGUAAAUUAAAUAUAACCGGAAAAUAUAUAAUUAUGUAUUAUUGAUAUAAUAUUUAAAUAUGUACUAAGAAAAGUAAAUAAUAAAUAAUUAUUUGUGUAAAGAUCCUUGUUAUUUAUUCGGAGGUGCAGAGCAUAUAUCGGCCCAGUAACAUAUUGGAUAGACAAACUCUACUUCGCUGAUCGUUUGUUCAUUUUCUUGAAAUUUUUCAUGUGGGAUGAACUACUUUAUCAAAUAUAAUUGGAGUUGGAGGCCAGAGGACAAGACCCGGGACGUCAGAAUUGCUUUAGACAGUCCAGUGUAAGAUUUCUUUUUUACUUUUUAUUUUAUUUUAGACUAUGAUAAUUCUCAACUGCAUAUUUAGAUCACAUGAGCAACCUUUAUCUAAUGGGAACUUGAAUAACACCUUAACUGAAUCUUCUGACUUUUGAUAUUUUUAUAUUUUUUAAUGUGGGUAAGUUUCACAACGGCCAUAUCAGUAU